rnacentral:rRNA from 1 species
ACAGAGGGUGCAAGCGUUGUUCGGAAUUACUGGGCGUAAAGCGUGUGUAGGUGGCGAUGUAAGUCGGGUGUGAAAUCCCUUGGCUUAACCAAGGAAGUGCAUUCGAUACUGUGUCGCUUGAGUAUCGGAGGGGUCGGCGGAAUUCCCGGUGUAGAGGUGAAAUUCGUAGAUAUCGGGAGGAACACCUGUGGCGAAGGCGGCCGACUGGACGAUCACUGACACUGAGACGCGAAAGCGUGGGUAGCAAACAGGA